CCAGUUUCCUGUCUCUCACGCAUGCCGCCACGAUGCACAACCCUUGCAAGCACAAAUUAAGGAAUUGUCACAUUUUAAUGCCAUUUCUGUCCAUUAAUAAAAGCUGAUCCAUGAAUUAUCUACAAAGAAGUACUAUUACUACUUUGAUAAUCCCAAUACUGCAAAUACCACCCGGGUAAAUCAAAAUUACCGGCACUUUACUUAGCAUCCGUUUGGCCCUCAUUUUCAUUCUUUUUCUCCCUUUUUUAUUUUUAAUCACACAAUCUUCCAUAAAGUAAUAUUAUAAGUAAAUCGAAAACUUUAUAUUCGUUUUCAACCACACAAUUUAAAAAAAAUACUAUUCCAACCAUUAAAAUUUGAAAAAAAUAGAGACUAAAUGGGGGCUAUUUUUAACUUUUCUCGAUAAAAAAACUAUUUAUUUCAAACUUAAUUUAUUUACUGAUAAACAAACUUGUUAAGAUUAGCCAGUCAUACUUUAUUCACUCGUAAAUUCAAAACUUUUUAUCUUUAUUCAUUUUUAAUCCUUAUUUUUAACUUUUCUCGAUAAAAAAACUUUUUUUAAAAUUUAAUUUAUAAAUAAACUUGCUAAGAUUAGCCAAUCAUGCUUUAUUUACAUUUAAAUUCAAGACUUUUUCUCUUUAUUCUUUUUUAAUCCUUAUUUUUAACUUUGCUCGAUAAAAAAACUAUUUAUUUUAAACUUAAUUUAUUUACUGAUAAAUAAACUUGUUAAGAUUAGCCAGUCAUGCUCUAUUUACAUGUAAAUUCAAAACUUUUUUUCUUUAUUCUUUUUUAAUCCUUUCUCCUCCAAAACCAUAGCCAAAAGGUGCACCGGAAAAACAAGUUUAGAAGUAAACUAAGCACCAUUGUUUAAUUUAUGUUAAACAAUAAUAACUUUACAUUUAAUUAUUUGUCACUGUUGUUGGGCUACUAUGCCUAAUAGAUCAUUUCUCAUGAAAUAAUUCUUCGCGCUUAUAAUUUUAAUUGUUCGAUGGCCCAAAGAGACAUAAACUAUGAAAAUAGUUUCCCAUUAUAUGAAUCAAUGCAAAUAUGGAAUAGAAUGAAGAAGACGAGAUUAUACAUGAAAUAUUCAUACUCCUCAACUUUCAUGCUCGAAACAUUUUUCUCAAUAAACCGUGACACUGACUUCAAUAUCUUCCUCUUUCAUAUCAAGUACUGUGUUGCUAAUGACAUCUUCCCAUCAUAAAUUCUAGUUUUACAAUCUUUACCUGCCAUUUUUGGCCAACCAAUGCACCCGAUGUUGUACGGUUUAUAGCAGAGAAUUUUUUCCUCUGUGUAAGCAGGAGAUCAAAAAAUUUAAUUAGAACACCAUGUAAAUCAUGAUGAUUUGUAGCUAGUGCCUUGAAUAGUCGGGCUAAUAUCACACAGUGAACUCUUUUGGUCGUAAACAUAUAUACAAAGUGGUAAGAAAGAAUUUAACAUUUCACGUAAAUAAAUACCGGUUAUGGCCAUACAUAAACUUCUUUGUUCAUAACUUCAAAAAUUCUAACACAUAUCACAACCAUACAUGUAUAUAUAUAGUGAAUAAAAAGGGUAA
rnacentral:lncRNA from 1 species